rnacentral:rRNA from 1 species
AAUAGAUACCCCGGUAGUCCACGCCGUAAACUAUGAGAGCUAGCCGUCGGCAAGCAUGCUUGUCGGUGGCGCAGCUAACGCAUUAAGCUCUCCGCCUGGGGAGUACGGUCGCAAGAUUAAAACUCAAAGGAAUUGACGGGGGGCCCGCACAAGCGGUGGAGCAUGUGGUUUAAUUCAAAGCAGCGCGCAGAACCUUACCAGCCCUUGACAUCCCGGUCGCGGUUACGAGAGAUCGUUUCCUUCAGUUCGGCUGGACCGGUGACAGGUGCUGCAUGGCUGUCGUCAGCUCGUGUCGUGAGAUGUUGGGUUAAGUCCCGCAACGAGCGCAACCCUCGCCUUUAGUUGCCAUCAUUGAGUUGGGCACUCUAGAGGGACUGCCGGUGAUAAGCCGGAGGAAGGUGGGGAUGACGUCAAGUCCUCAUGGCCCUUACGGGCUGGGCUACACACGUGCUACAAUGGUGGUGACAGUGGGCAGCAAGCACGCGAGUGUGAGCUAAUCUCCAAAAGCCAUCUCG